rnacentral:rRNA from 1 species
CACUCCUGCGGGAGGCAGCAGUGGGGAAUAUCGCACAAUGGGCGCAAGCCUGAUGCAGCCAUGCCGCGUGUAUGAAGAAGGCCUUCGGGUUGUAAAGUACUUUCAGCGGGGAGGAAGGCGAUAAGGUUAAUAACCUUGUCGAUUGACGUUACCCGCAGAAGAAGCACCGGCUAACUCCGUGCCAGCAGCCGCGGUAAUACGGAGGGUGCAAGCGUUAAUCGGAAUUACUGGGCGUAAAGCGCACGCAGGCGGUCUGUCAAGUCGGAUGUGAAAUCCCCGGGCUCAACCUGGGAACUGCAUUCGAAACUGGCAGGCUAGAGUCUUGUAGAGGGGGGUAGAAUUCCAGGUGUAGCGGUGAAAUGCGUAGAGAUCUGGAGGAAUACCGGUGGCGAAGGCGGCCCCCUGGACAAAGACUGACGCUCAGGUGCGAAAGCGUGGGGAGCAAACAGGAUUAGAAACCCGGGUAGUCCCA